rnacentral:rRNA from 1 species
ACUAAGCGUACACGGUGGAUGCCCUGGCAGUCAGAGGCGAUGAAGGGCGUGCUAAUCUGCGAUAAGCGCCGGUAAGGUGAUAUGAACCGUUAUAACCGGCGAUACCCGAAUGGGGAAACCCAGUGUGACUCGUCACACUAUCAUUAACUGAAUCCAUAGGUUAAUGAGGCGAACCGGGGGAACUGAAACAUCUAAGUACCCCGAGGAAAAGAAAUCAACCGAGAUUCCCCCAGUAGCGGCGAGCGAACGGGGAGGAGCCCAGAGCCUGAAUCAGCAUGUGUGUUAGUGGAAGCGUCUGGAAAGGCGCGCGAUACAGGGUGACAGCCCCGUACACAAAAGCGCAUGUGCUGUGAGCUCGAUGAGUAGGGCGGGACACGUGGUAUCCUGUCUGAAUAUGGGGGGACCAUCCUCCAAGGCUAAAUACUCCUGACUGACCGAUAGUGAACCAGUACCGUGAGGGAAAGGCGAAAAGAACCCCGGCGAGGGGAGUGAAAAAGAACCUGAAACCGUGUACGUACAAGCAGUGGGAGCACCCUUUGGGUGUGACUGCGUACCUUUUGUAUAAUGGGUCAGCGACUUAUAUUCUGUAGCAAGGUUAACCGAAUAGGGGAGCCGGAGGGAAACCGAGUCUUAAUUGGGCGUUAAGUUGCAGGGUAUAGACCCGAAACCCGGUGAUCUAGCCAUGGGCAGGUUGAAGGUUGGGUAACACUAACUGGAGGACCGAACCGACUAAUGUUGAAAAAUUAGCGGAUGACCUGUGGCUGGGGGUGAAAGGCCAAUCAAACCGGGAGAUAGCUGGUUCUCCCCGAAAGCUAUUUAGGUAGCGCCUCGUGAAUUCAUCUCCGGGGGUAGAGCACUGUUUCGGCUAGGGGGCCAUCCCGGCUUACCAACCCGAUGCAAACUGCGAAUACCGGAGAAUGUUAUCACGGGAGACACACGGCGGGUGCUAACGUCCGUCGUGAAGAGGGAAACAACCCAGACCGCCAGCUAAGGUCCCAAAGUCAUGGUUAAGUGGGAAACGAUGUGGGAAGGCCCAGACAGCCAGGAUGUUGGCUUAGAAGCAGCCAUCAUUUAAAGAAAGCGUAAUAGCUCACUGGUCGAGUCGGCCUGCGCGGAAGAUGUAACGGGGCUAAACCAUGCACCGAAGCUGCGGCAGCGACACUGUGUGUUGUUGGGUAGGGGAGCGUUCUGUAAGCCUGUGAAGGUGUGUCGUGAGGCAUGCUGGAGGUAUCAGAAGUGCGAAUGCUGACAUAAGUAACGAUAAAGCGGGUGAAAAGCCCGCUCGCCGGAAGACCAAGGGUUCCUGUCCAACGUUAAUCGGGGCAGGGUGAGUCGACCCCUAAGGCGAGGCCGAAAGGCGUAGUCGAUGGGAAACGGGUUAAUAUUCCCGUACUUGGUGUUACUGCGAAGGGGGGACGGAGAAGGCUAUGUUGGCCGGGCGACGGUUGUCCCGGUUUAAGCGUGUAGGUGUGUGUUCCAGGUAAAUCCGGUUCACUUUAACACUGAGGCGUGACGACGAGGCACUACGGUGCUGAAGCAACAAAUGCCCUGCUUCCAGGAAAAGCCUCUAAGCAUCAGGUAACAUCAAAUCGUACCCCAAACCGACACAGGUGGUCAGGUAGAGAAUACCAAGGCGCUUGAGAGAACUCGGGUGAAGGAACUAGGCAAAAUGGUGCCGUAACUUCGGGAGAAGGCACGCUGACACGUAGGUGAAGUGAUUUACUCAUGGAGCUGAAGUCAGUCGAAGAUACCAGCUGGCUGCAACUGUUUAUUAAAAACACAGCACUGUGCAAACACGAAAGUGGACGUAUACGGUGUGACGCCUGCCCGGUGCCGGAAGGUUAAUUGAUGGGGUCAGCGCAAGCGAAGCUCCUGAUCGAAGCCCCGGUAAACGGCGGCCGUAACUAUAACGGUCCUAAGGUAGCGAAAUUCCUUGUCGGGUAAGUUCCGACCUGCACGAAUGGCGUAAUGAUGGCCAGGCUGUCUCCACCCGAGACUCAGUGAAAUUGAACUCGCUGUGAAGAUGCAGUGUACCCGCGGCAAGACGGAAAGACCCCGUGAACCUUUACUAUAGCUUGACACUGAACAUUGAGCCUUGAUGUGUAGGAUAGGUGGGAGGCUUUGAAGUGUGGACGCCAGUCUGCAUGGAGCCGACCUUGAAAUACCACCCUUUAAUGUUUGAUGUUCUAACGUGGACCCGUUACCCGGGUUGCGGACAGUGUCUGGUGGGUAGUUUGACUGGGGCGGUCUCCUCCUAAAGAGUAACGGAGGAGCACGAAGGUUGGCUAAUCCUGGUCGGACAUCAGGAGGUUAGUGCAAUGGCAUAAGCCAGCUUGACUGCGAGCGUGACGGCGCGAGCAGGUGCGAAAGCAGGUCAUAGUGAUCCGGUGGUUCUGAAUGGAAGGGCCAUCGCUCAACGGAUAAAAGGUACUCCGGGGAUAACAGGCUGAUACCGCCCAAGAGUUCAUAUCGACGGCGGUGUUUGGCACCUCGAUGUCGGCUCAUCACAUCCUGGGGCUGAAGUAGGUCCCAAGGGUAUGGCUGUUCGCCAUUUAAAGUGGUACGCGAGCUGGGUUUAGAACGUCGUGAGACAGUUCGGUCCCUAUCUGCCGUGGGCGCUGGAGAACUGAGGGGGGCUGCUCCUAGUACGAGAGGACCGGAGUGGACGCAUCACUGGUGUUCGGGUUGUCAUGCCAAUGGCACUGCCCGGUAGCUAAAUGCGGAAGAGAUAAGUGCUGAAAGCAUCUAAGCACGAAACUUGCCCCGAGAUGAGUUCUCCCUGAGACUUAAAGUCUCCUGAAGGAACGUUGAAGACGACGACGUUGAUAGGCCGGGUGUGUAAGCGCAGCGAUGCGUUGAGCUAACCGGUACUAAUGAACCGUGAGGCUUAACC